CCCACCUUCCCACCACGAUUCUAUCUCUCUCUCUCGUACCUCUCUCUCCCUCUCGAUCCAGAGCGCAUCGGCGCCCCACCGGCCACCACCUCGACUGCCCUGGCCUCACCGGCCACCACUUCGCACGUCGGCCACCAGGGCGACCUCAGCCCUCCUACCCCGUCGCCCCCGUCAGCCGCAGGCUCCGGCCCCGUUGCCCCCGUUGGCCGCCGGCUCCGGCCCCAUCCCCUGCAGGCCGUCGGCUCCGGCCGCGUCCCCCGCAGGCCUCCGGCGCUGCCAAGCCCGCACCGUCCCGCUUCGCCCCCACCGGCAGCCGGCCCCAUCCAUCGAUGCUGCAGCGCCGCACCACCUUACGGAUGAGCCUGGCAAGCUCCGUUGCGGCGGCGGACGCCUUGAGCACCAUCCCUCUUGUAAUUUUUUUGUGAGAUAUCCCUGUUGUAUUCUCUGUAAUUCAUUUGUGUGUACUAAUUCAUUUGCAUCUACUCUGUGUAAUCCAUUUGUGUGUAAUCUGUUUAUUUUGUGAAAUGGAACAGUUUUGUAUUGUGAAAUUCAUCCGUGGAGUCUUGGAACACC
rnacentral:rRNA from 1 species